UACGAGUGCUUCAAGCGUUAUCCGGAAUCAUUGGGCGUAAAGGGUGUGUAGGCGGUUGUGUUAGUCUCGCGUAAAAUUCUUCGGCUCAACCGAGGACCCGCGCGGGAAACGGCACAACUUGAGGACGGGAGAGGUCUCUGGAACUCAUGGUGUAGCGGUGAAAUGCGUUGAUAUCAUGGGGAACACCAAAAGCGAAGGCAAGAGACUGGCCCGCUCCUGACGCUGAAACACGAAAGCGUGGGUCGCGAAUGGG
rnacentral:rRNA from 1 species